CCUCUUUCAGGGUCAUACCUGGAGAGUAUCCAGUACUCUACCAGUCUCGAAUGGGGGAGGGAGAGUCAAGCAGAGGCCUACCCAUUCCAUUCCUAGCUUGGGAAGUGGCUAAUGAGUGGAAGGCCAUCUGCUACAUGG